AUUGAACGCUGGCGGCAUGCCUUACACAUGCAAGUCGAACGGCAGCACGGGUGCUUGCACCUGGUGGCGAGUGGCGAACGGGUGAGUAAUACAUCGGAACGUACCUUAUCGUGGGGGAUAACGCAGCGAAAGCUGUGCUAAUACCGCAUACGCCCUGAGGGGGAAAGCGGGGGAUCGAAAGACCUCGCGCGAUUAGAGCGGCCGAUGCCUGAUUAGCUUGUUGGUGGGGUAAAAGCCCACCAAGGCGACGAUCAGUAGCUGGUCUGAGAGGACGAUCAGCCACACUGGGACUGAGACACGGCCCCGACUCCUACGGGAGGCAGCAGUGGGGAAUUUUGGACAAUGGGGGCAACCCUUAUCCAGCAAUGCCGCGUGAGUGAAGAAGGCCUUCGGGUUGUAAAGCUCUUUUGUCAGGGAAGAAACACCGGCUCUAACACAGUCCGGGAAUGACGGUACCUGAAGAAUAAGCACCGGCUAACUGCGUGCCAGCCGCCGCCGUAA
rnacentral:rRNA from 1 species